rnacentral:rRNA from 1 species
GUCCACGCCGUAAACGAUGAGUACUAGGUGUAGGGGGUAUCGACUCCCUCUGUGCCGCAGUUAACACAAUAAGUACUCCGCCUGGGAAGUACGGUCGCAAGAUUAAAACUCAAAGGAAUUGACGGGGGCCCGCACAAGCAGCGGAGCAUGUGGUUUAAUUCGAAGCAACGCGAAGAACCUUACCUAGACUUGACAUCUCCUGAAUAAUCGGUAACUCGAUGAAGCCUUUCGGGGCAGGAAGACAGGUGGUGCAUGGUUGUCGU